AGAUGUUCCCAGGACGCGAGCUAAGUCUGCCCGGCCGGCGCGCGCCGCUUCCGCUUUGGUGGGAAGGACCUCCCUUCCCCCUUAUAGAAACACUUUCUCCAGGCCGGGCCGGGCUUGGUAAACCUCAGCCGUGCCUGGGUAGAGGACGCCGGGCUGGGCCGAGCGGGGGUGGAAUGAGGGCGUCUAGAACAGAGAAAACUAAGAUGGGGUCGUCCCCCCAGUAAUCUGGAAAACAGUUACAGCAACAGGCUCCUCUCAUCAGACGGCAGUGCUGGUCGUUUCCUCACUGGUUUGCGGGGAAGGCUGGGCAGAAAAAGGAUGCAACCUUGUUCUCAACCACUUGCUAUCUCGUGAUUCAGGGAUUGGAUGAGUCUCUAUGGUUUGUUUUGCCCUGAAGAGCAGAAGGCUUCUGUCCCAACUGGUGUUGCCAAAGCAACAUAUUAAUUCCAUGCCAUGAUCCUGGGUCAAGAUCUGCACAAUCUGAUUGGGCAUGUCACCUCGGAUGGCAAGGGAGUGGAAGUGGUCAAAAUCAUGGAGUCCCAGCUUUCGGAGACGCCUUGCAGCUGCCCGGUGAAGAAAAUGCACAAUGGAAACCACCCAGAUGUCCAGUGAUAGUGGCAUGGACAAAUAAAUGUGGUAUAAUCAUGA
rnacentral:lncRNA from 1 species